UUGGGAAGCCGGAUAAUGGCACUGAAAAUUUGUUCGCAAAUUUUUAGUGAGGAAAGUCCAGACAGCAGAAAGCAAGGUGUCCCGACAAUAUCGGGAUUCCCGACUCAAAACGUCGGGACAAGAAAGUGCCACAGAGACGAGCCGGGUGACGCCGGAGUGAAACGACCAAGUUACUGGGUCUCCGCAUAACUGCGAAGGGAAAACCUCCCUGCUGCAAUCUCCGAUUGAUCCGUUUGAGGAUGCUUUCCCGAGGAUCGAAGUUCGAGAGCGUUAGAUUGAUCAUUAUUUAGAACAGAAUCUGGCUUACGGGCCUCCCAAACAA
rnacentral:RNase_P_RNA from 3 species